AGGGUUGUGGCUCAGUGGCAGAGCACUUGCCUAGCAUGCGUGAGGCACUGGGUUCGAUUCUCAGCACCACAU
rnacentral:tRNA from 1 species